GGAUUGAGACAUUUGGACCAACCGUGAGUGAUCAACCAUUGGAGCAAGCUAUGGAGCUUGAAUAGCUCAUUGGAAUUGGUGUAUGUUUGUAAAAGUUGAUUGCUGAAACUGUUGGUGAAGAACAAAGGUUGACUGAAGCAUUGAGGUAAGGAUGCUGCAGGAGCCUCUGGUGGCAAGUGGCCAUAUCUGGAUUAUGCAUGAGAUGUGGCAUUCCUUUUGAGUUUAUGCAUGCCUUUUGUAGUUGACAUGUAUAGGAGUUUAUUUUGAAAGCCCUUGGUCAUUUGUAUGCCUUGAUUCAUUGAAUGAACUUAGCCUAUGCUCAUGCCUUUGGUUACACCUUUUGUUGAU